ensembl:lncRNA
GAUUGGAGCUUAACUCUGUAGGACGUUGGUCCUCCAGGAGCAGGACCAGACACCCCUGCUGUAGAAUUGAGCUGAUUUUGUAUCUUUAGCUAACCAAAUACUCAUGGAGAAGAGCACAUUUUCUUUAUAGAGAUAUAAUACAUUUAUAGCAAGAUCUUUCUGCUUUGUUCCUUAGUGGACAGAAGGGCUUAGUGAUUUCAGCCUGGACACAAAUUAAACAAUUAACCAGAGAUUCACAACCAUCGGGGGCUGCUUUGUCUUCCUGUUUGCCAUUUUGUCCUAUUGGGAAACAAACAAGUAGGAGAAAGAUCCAAUUACCUUCUUCAAGAGGAGAGGCAAUUCUCUUUAACGUGAUUGUCUCAGAUCUGCCACAUUAGGUUCCUGCACUUAUACAAAAGCGAUACAAGACAACACAUCUGAUACAGGAAUGGAAAUCCAACCCUUGUCAUGAUAAAACAAUGCAGUUUUGCGAUGGAGAUUUGUUCAGCCAGACGGCGCCAUGAUGGGUGUGCUGGAGUGUGAUAAUUCAAGAGCUGCAGGGGAGGACUGUGAUUUAUGGGAUAUCCUUUAUGCGUUACAAAAUGUGUUCUUUCGAAAGCCCACCCCCAACAAUUCAUAUGAGUCAUUUCCCUAAUUGAUAGUUGCCUGGAAACUCUAUGAGAGGGGCUGAAAAAGACUAAUAAUGUACAAAAUAUAGUGUGUGUUGAUCAAGACCAGUAAAACGAAAUGUUACAGUUUCAUCGACUUGCUUGAGACUAUUGAUUUUGAAUUGAUAUGGGUUUACACACUACACUGUGCCUGCGAGGUCACUCAUAAUGAAGUAUGGAUUAACAAUGAUGUUUUAAAACAAUGCCAUAUCUUUUGUACAGAUAUCAGGUGUGAUGUCACCGCACCUAAUGCGUUUCAAAUGACGCAAAUGUACAGCGCUACAUCCAGAUUAUUAUAGGCUCUAUUUGAGUGCUGUCUCAAUUCCCAUCAUAAAAGCUAUUGAUUACUCCCUACUUACACUCUCACGCUUGUGCUCAGCCACUGGGAUAUUGGCAUUAAUUUCUCCAAGUCAGUGCCUUCAGUGCUGGUCAUUUGAGGUCUUUCUGAGGUACUGUGGAUGCCUUUUGGUGCUCUUUGAUGUACUUUUUAGGACAUAAAUGGAAAGGUACUGUAGACAAUAAAAAUGGCUAUAUUUAAAUUUGCCCUUGGUUUACGAUUGAUAGUUGUCUCAUAUAAAUCUUAUACUGUAACACUGAAAUUACACUCAUCAUCUUUAAAAUGCACGUCAGUUAACAUAAUAUCUCAGUCUGUUUAUUAUAAACAAGACAAGCCCAGUGAGAGGGCUUGUUUUAUAGCGGCCAAGAACGUCCUGCCCGUGCCAGAGCCACCCCUCCUCGCUCCCGCUGCAAGCUGUUUGCAGGAUGCAGGAUCUGGAGGUAUUCCCUCAGCACUCACCCCAGCUCCAGAGCUGAAACACUACACCACACUGAAGAGGGCAGACACAGACAAGAGUGACUGGGGAAACACAUACAAAAACGGUUUACUAAGCAAGAUGAGGGAGUGUUGUUUUUAGGUUACUACCGUUGGGUUUCUGAUUUUUACUAGUGAUAUAGCAGAAUGCUCAUGUAAUUAUUUUCUGAUUCUCCACAGCAGUUUUAGUAGGUUAUGAGUCACACGGGCCUCUGGCUAUGGCCGCAUUAAACUGCAAAUACAGUGGCGCUAUUAAAAUUUAUUAGAUUAGAGAUCUGUAACUACAACUCUUAUGAAAUGUAUUUAAUUGCCUCCUGGUUUGAACAAAAACAUCUAGAGCUGAAAAUUCUCCUUGCUUAUUUUAAAUUUCAACCAUUCCAAUGACAGUAUCUGCUUAAAUAUGGAGGGCAUUCCUUAUCAAUCCUUUAACAUAAGCUUUCAGUAGCCAAGGAGGAUGAUGUUGAAUAUCUAGCUGUGCGAUGUGUUUUAUUUUGGUUCCAAAUUUUUUUUGUCAGCCAGUGCCCUUAGACAGUACAGGUCCUCCUUAUAUGCAAAGUACACAAAUUGCAUAUACCCUCCGAACCACC